GUAGCGUGUGACGAAGAAGAAAGUUUAUCGCGUUCAUAAACUCAUUUGAAUAAAGUGAUAGAAUGGCAUAAGGGUCUUUAUUUAACUAUGCUAAAAUAAUUAUUAAAGACACUAGAUGCAAAAUCGUCAAUUAUUGAGUUAAAUGGAUUAUUAGAUGGAUUUUAAAGGAUAAUUAAAGCUUCGACUUUGCGACCAGGAUGCAAGAAAGUCAGAUUCGAAGUCGGUCCAGAUAAACAUUCAUUUCUUCACGAUUGGAUGAAACGUGUUGCCUCUAAAGUGGUAAAAAGAUUACAGUUGACGUCUCGCACCGCACAACAUGCACAUGUCCGCACGACGACCGACUACGGACUUGGGGUGAUCCAAAUUUCACAUCGUGUGCACCUUGUGCUCAGGUGAACUAAUAAGGCUCGAAAUCUAGGAACAUAAGACCAUCGGGUGUUUCAUAGUCACGUAGCUGAACUGUGCUGUCGGCAGGGAUAACACCAAGAGUGCGGAACACCUUGAACGACACUACAACGACAAGUAGGGUAAAGGCGACACCACUGCAAACGGAAAUGGCAACGAUAGCACCGAUGGAAAGAUUCCCAUCACUUGACACCGUAUCGGCCCGUGUUGUAUGUGAAAUGGAAACGAUAGCACCUGUGGAAAGAGUCCCAUCACUUGACACCGUAUCGGCCCGUGUUGUAUCGGCUGGAAUAAAAACGAGUACCACGUGCAGUUUACGUAUUGUAUCCGAAAGCUAGUGAAAUAUUUAUGUUCGGUUUUUCAUAACCUAAACAUAUAUUUGUUAUGUGUUUACAUUUUCAUAGCAAAUAAGAAUAUAAAAAAUUGGUAUUUAAUAGAUUUUGCCAGCACAAUAUAAAAAAUCUAAAUAACACAAAAUGAUACAAGUUAUUUCUCUACCACGAGCGUUUGCUCUAAAAAGUUUGAGACUAUCGAGAAUGCAAAUAUUUUUACACAGAAAUAGUAUAUAACAAACACUUAAUGCCGUAUUAAGUUCAUUUGAUGUUAUGGAUUGUUUAAAGGUCCCCGCCACGAAUAAAUAAAAAUUGUAUACAUAAUCUGAACGAUGAAGCUCCACAAAUAUUAUCAGUAGAGACAGUAUUGUUAAUAUCUAUUACUAAUAACCGAUACAGAGUUCAUAACAAUGCAAACAACAUUUCAAAUGGAUGCUAAAUGUGUGGUUAACUCAUUGGAACGAUCAAUCAAUUCCAAUCCGACUAGAUUUGAAGGCAAAUUUGAAUUUCUAUCAGAUUCCAUAUCAAAUACCUGUUGCUGGUUGUUGUGUAAGGGUAGAUAAAGAAGUUGUUGUAAAUUCUGUGGCUAUUACUUCUUCGCAAGUCAAGUUCAUGUCGAGAUAGGCUUGAUGAGGAUAACUUGUAGCUGAAGAAAGCAGUUAUAUUAUUGGGUAGUUAUUUUCUAGUAUUAAGAUAAUAUCUUUUGUUUGUAAGCGAAUUCCACGUUACUUGAUAUAUAUAUAUAUAGAGUUAACAUUACUUGUAUGACAUUCGUCAUCAAGUUCACUCCAGGUAACAAUUUCAAUGUGUUAAUGACAUAAUCCGUACUGCUCACCUCUUGCUUUGAACCAUACCAUGGCUGGUGUGUCACGAGGACCUGUCUUAUAAAGGUCCUUCAGAAGCACAUACGUCGUCUCUCCGGGUAACAAUGUAAUUAAUUGGUAGUAGUUAUUUAUUUGACGAUAUAAAAAGUUAUCUUUCCAAUGCUCAGUCGAUUCCUUACAACGAUGAAAGAAGUACCCGUUCGUCAAUAUGGCGCUGGAACACAUUGCUGAAGAUGCGUUGACGUCAUGGUAAUAGCCCUCCAGACGUACGUCUAUCCAGUACAGAACAAGUUCGGUCAAAUUAUGUGCGUGAAGAUUGGUUAACGAACACUUGCACUCCUUGCUAGUACUAUUGGGAUGGAAGGGUUCGGUCGAUCCAUCGAACCAGAUAUCGACGUCGUUGGUGACUUUAGUGGUUUUCUUCGAGGGUCCUCCGCACAUUGGUAUCUUAUCUGUCACUGUGAAUCAGUAACGUCUUUAUUAUCAGCGUGUUUUCAUUAAUCGAAAACUAUUUAUUAAUUAGCCAGCAAUUCGCAUUUUUAAAAUACUUUAGAGACGAGGUUUCUGAUUUAUAAUACAUGUUUGUUCAGAUUAAUAAUUGGCUUACUUUUAGUUAUUGUUAUUAUUGUUAUUACUAUAAUAAUCAGACUAUUAUCAUUAUAAGUAGUAGAGCCUUCUUUGGGGGAUACGUUUUGCAUUAAGUAUAAGCGUAUGAUAAUUAUGAGUCCUAAUAUUAAAACAAUAAAAAUCAACAACACAGAGAGGUUUAUAAAAUUAUUGUUACCACUGUCACAUAUGUAUUCCAUAUGCAUGUAGGAUGUCAUGGUCCCUGUAG